rnacentral:tRNA from 1 species
GGAGAGGUGGCCGAGAGGCCGAAGGCGCUCGCCUGCUAAGCGAGUGUACGGGUUAUACUGUACCGAGGGUUCGAAUCCCUCCCUCUCCGCCA